AACGGCCCAUUUCCGAGGCGGCGCUUUGAAAGGCCCGCCGGGGCGCGGCGACGGGGUGGAACCACCGGGCCGGGCUGCUGACGUCACCACCAGGCCCGGAGCCGGAGCUGCGACGACGCCGAGGAAGGCGCGAAAACCCCGCGAGCCGCCCCGGGAGGGAGAGCUCUCCCUCCGCCUCUUUCCCUUUCCCACCCCGUCACGCGAGAGCGGAGCGCGCGCGCACAAACACCCUAGCUGAGGCGAAGAGCCCUGCGGGGGGCGGGUUCCGACGUGCGAGUCCACACAGCGGGCGCCGUUUCGGGGCGAAGGUUGCCCUCCUUGCCAGCAGCUCUACAGUCCGCGCUUCUUUCCCUCGGCAAAGGUGGUCGCCGCCUUUUUCAGCCCUUAAAGACAUCCCACAGAACUGAGACAUUGGAGACUGCAGGGGUGUCAGCCAGAUUCAUAGGCCUUUGGUCUGAGUACAUCUGCUUUUUGCAGGCCACUGAAGAAUGUGUGGGCGAACAGCUGUUGUACUGGGAGCAGAUCGUAUCCGCCGUGCCUGUGAAUACCGUGAUAAUCAAGGAAAGAGAAGGUGUCCAGAAUGGAAAAAUGCUGACAAAUAUAGUCCAUCCUACAAUAAGAGCCCACAGUCUAAUAGCCCUGUGCUUCUCUCCCGACAACACUUUGAAAAGGAUGCCAACUCUUCUGAACGUGUCCUUGUAGCUAUGCGUUGGGGGCUGGUUCCAGCCUGGUUUAAGGAAGCUGACCCAUCUAAAAUGCAGUAUAACACUGCAAAUUGUCGGAGUGAUACCAUGAUGGAGAAACUUUCCCUACAAGGGGCCUCUGUUAAAAGGCAAACGCUGCGUUGUGCUGGCUGAUGGCUACUACGAAUGGCAACAACAAAAUGGGCAGAAGCAGCCCUAUUUCAUUUACUUCCCCCAGACCGAGGAUAAAAAGGUACAACAGCAAUACGUUCAUAUUUAAUGGUGAAGUGCUCAUUGGCUCUUUCAUUUUCAUUUACUUUCCCUCGAACUCUUAACUUGCUUCAGAAGGUUUUGGCUUUAUUAUUUUGGUCAGACUGCCUUUCCCCAUGAAGCAAGGCCACCUGAGGGUAGCUGUUGCUGAAGGUCAUACAUUUCUGUUCUCCCUUGGCCAUGCUGAAAGUUCAGCAUAACAGUAUGUCGGAAUUGUUCAUCUUUUAUACAUGUAAUUUUUAUUAUUUCAUUUCUGAAUCUCUUCCCAUGAGGCUUCCUGAAGCAAUUUACAAUAUUUAAAGUGUUUUUGCAUUGCCGUUCAUUUCAAAAUUCCCAGGACAGUUUAAAAUAACUGAAUUCUUUUAGUUACUAAAAGAGUACAAUAGAAUGCUAAAAGCAAUUGCAGCAAAGUGCAGAAUACAUCACAGGUUAAACCCAUAGGAAGAAAUGGGUAUUUGCCUUGCACCUAAAAAGAAACAAAAAGGGCAAACCUCCCUAACAUGAGAAUACCGCUCUCCCAUAGCCACCCAGAGGCAGAUUUAGUGGUGUGUGACCCAAUUCAUUUGCACUGGGUGUGGAGUCUCAGGGGUGCCGCAACUUUGAUGUAGAAUGGAAGGGGGGGGCACUGAAUUUUGGCAUUUCACAGGGUGCUGCUGAAAUUCGAAACCCCAAGAUGUGCCCCUGUAGCCACACAACUCACUACAAAUCAUAAAGGGAACCAGAAGAAGACCCUCUGAGAAGAUACUGGCAGGUUGAGGUGGGAAAUGUUUACUUAAGUAGCCAGGUCCCAAGCCAUGCAAGGGUUUAAAAGUAAGCACCAUCAGUUUGAAUUGUGCGCAGAAAUAGACCAGAAUCCAGUGGAUCUCUUAAAGAACUAAUGAGUAGUGGUUACAAUUCCUGGUUCCCAGUUAGUAGCCAGGCUGCUGUGUUCUGAACGAAAAGCAGUCCUGAGAGUCUUCAAACACAGCUGCAUGUACAACAUGUUACUGUAAUAAAAGGUUACCAGGGCAUGGAUAAGUGCAGGUGGUUUGUUUUAUCCCAAAGGGGUGCAGCUAGUGUACCAGCUUCAGUAGAUGAACAGGCUCCAUGCUGUUGCGACCACUUUAUCCUCUAGUACAGGGGUAGCAAAUGAGGUGUCCUGCAGAUGUUGUUGGACUCUAACUCCCUAUCAACGCCAGCAUUGCCAGUGGUCAGGGCUGAUGGGAAUUAUAAUUUAGUAAAAUAUGGAGGGCACCACACUGGCUACUCUGCUCUGGUGACAUAGCUAGAGCAAUGGGCCUUUCUAACUAGAUCAAAGCACGUUGGGAGCUGACUAGAACACAAGUGGCAGAAGUC